CUAGAGUUUGAUCCUGGCUCAGGACGAACGCUGGCGGCGUGCUUAACACAUGCAAGUCGAGCGGUAAGGCUCCUUCGGGAGUACACGAGCGGCGAACGGGUGAGUAACACGUGAGCAAUCUGCCCUUCACAUUGGGAUAACCCUCGGAAACGAGAGCUAAUACCGGAUACAACCACUGGCGGCAUCGCCUGGUGGUGGAAAGUUCCGGCGGUGGAGGAUGAGCUCGCGGCCUAUCAGCUUGUUGGUGGGGUAACGGCCCACCAAGGCGACGACGGGUAGCCGGCCUGAGAGGGUGACCGGCCACACUGGGACUGAGACACGGCCCAGACUCCUACGGGAGGCAGCAGUGGGGAAUAUUGCGCAAUGGGCGAAAGCCUGACGCAGCGACGCCGCGUGUGGGAUGAAGCAUUUCGGUGUGUAAACCACUGUUGCCCGGGACGAACAGCUUCUUUCGAGGAGCCUGACGGUACCGGGUGAGGAAGCACCGGCUAACUCCGUGCCAGCAGCCGCGGUA
rnacentral:rRNA from 1 species